rnacentral:rRNA from 1 species
UACGUAGGGUGCGAGCGUUUGUCCGGAAUUAUUGGGCGUAAAGAGCUUGUAGGCGGUUUGUCGCGUCUGCCGUGAAAAUUCGAGGCUCAACCUCGAACUUGCGGUGGGUACGGGCAGGCUAGAGUUCGGUAGGGGAGACUGGAAUUCCUGGUGUAGCGGUGAAAUGCGCAGAUAUCAGGAGGAACACCGGUGGCGAAGGCGGGUCUCUGGGCCGAUACUGACGCUGAGGAGCGAAAGCGUGGGGAGCGAACAGG